AUUGAACGCUGGCGGCAGGCCUAACACAUGCAAGUCGAACGAGUGGCGGACGGGUGAGUAAUGUCUGGGAAACUGCCUGAUGGAGGGGGAUAACUACUGGAAACGGUAGCUAAUACCGCAUAACAUCGGAUGUGACCAGAUGGGAUUAGCUAGUAGGUGGGGUAAAGGCUCACCUAGGCGACGCUCCCUAGGUGGUCUGAGAGGAUGACCAGCCACACUGGAACUGGGACACGGUCCAUACGCCUACGGGAGGCAGCAUUGGGGAAUAUUGCACAAUGGGCGCAAGCCUGAUGCAGCCAUGCCGCGUGUAUGAAGAAGGCCUUCGGGUUGUAAAGUACUUUCAGCGGGGAGGCGUUACCCGCAGAAGAAGCACCGGCUAACUCCGUGCCAGCAGCCGCGGUAAUAC
rnacentral:rRNA from 1 species